rnacentral:rRNA from 1 species
UGGGGAAUCUUGCACAAUGGGGGCAACCCUGAUGCAGCGACGCCGCGUGAGCGAUGAAGCCCUUCGGGGCGUAAAGCUCUUUCGACCGGAACGAUAAUGACGGUACCGGGAGAAGAAGCUGCGGCUAACUACGUGCCAGCAGCCGCGGUAAUACGUAGGCAGCAAGCGUUGUUCGGAGUUACUGGGCGUAAAGAGUGCGUAGGCGGUUUUCUAAGUUCGGUGUGAAAUCUCCCGGCUUAACUGGGAGGGUGCGCCGAAGGCUGGGAAGCUGGAGUGUGGGAAAGGCAGGCGGAAUUCCUGGUGUAGCGGUGAAAUGCGUAGAUAUCAGGAGGAACACCGGCGGUGUAGACGGCUUGCUAGACCAUAACUGACGCUGAGGCACGAAAGCGUGGGUAGCAAACA